AUCAAUCUAUACAUAUAAUAAAAUCGUAGAAAAGUGCUGUCUGUACAUUGAAAAUAAAAAUAAAAAAAAUAGCAGGGGUUAUUGUUAUGUCGAUGUCGAACCCAAAAAUGUAAUUAACUUUUUUUUUGUCUGUUUGUCUGUUUGUCUGUUUGUCUGUUCGUCUGUGCGCGCUAAUCUCAGAAACGGCUGAUCCGAGUUGGAUGCGGUUUUCACGAAUAUAUUGUGGGAUGCUUAAAUUUACAUUUAGUGUUUGUUUCAUGUCAAUCGGUUCAUAAAUAAAAAAGUUAUGUCAAAUUAAAGAAUCACGUCGAACAUUCUAUGCUUAUACCAUUAAUCUCCGCAACUAUUUGACGGAUUUGGUUGAAAUUUGGUACAGAUAUAGUUUAGAACCUUAGAAACAGAUAUAGUUUAGGACAUAGAUAUAUUUUUAUUUCAAAAAUCAAAAAAUAAAAAUAAGAAAUAAAUUAUUUAUAAAUAAUUCUAUGUCGAUCGUUACAUGACUUCGGUUCAUGUUAUUGUUUUAAUUCAUCGAAAAAAAGUAAAUAAAUAGUAAAAAGGUAUGAAAAAAAUAAUAUCAAUAUAAUUAAACUUUUAGUACAAAGAAAAUGCCCGAACGGAGUAUAAAUAAAUAAUCCAAGUUGUCUUUAUCCUCGAUAGAUGGCGUUGGGAUCGAAAUAGAUCGCGCUAUGGUUUCGUUACAUUCAUUUGGUUGGGUAUCGGCCGAGCGCUUCGGUACUAUCGUAGAAAAAGUGUAUUAUCAGUCGUAUGAUUAUUUGUCUGUAGUGGUCCUGCUGUUUCGUAUAUUCUAAAUUGGUUUCGUUGUAUUUAUCAAUUAAUUAAUUAAUUAAUAAGUUUAUUUGUUGGGUUUUCCUGGUUUUCUGGUUAAACUAUUUAACGUAGGUUUAGUUUGAUAUCGAUUAUUAGUAGUUACUGUAGUUAGUUUUUUUAAUAAAAUUGUAAGUCUAAUUUAUAAAUUAAUUAGAUUAGAUUUAAGUCGUUUCUUUUAAAUUAUUUAGUUUAAGCUUGGUUAUUAUAGCAUAGAGGAUAGGUUGUAAUAUAGUUUCUUUUUAACCACCGACGCAAAAAGAGGGGUGUUAUAAGUUUUUUAAUUGUUAUAAAUUCGUAAUUCGUAGCUUUCUUUAGUUUUAAGUUAGUUUAAGUCCGUUUUUAAACAAUUUUUUCAAUGCCCUAAGUGAGUAUACAUCUAUUAAAUUCGCAACGCAGAGCUCAUUAUGUUGAUUUUUGAAGAGUUCCCUGGAAUAUCUUCCACAUCUCAUUUUUGAAGAGAUCCCGCGAGAUCGGGAACUAUCUGGUUAAAACCAAAAAAUUGCCGGAAGUCACUAUUCCACGCGAACGAAGUCGCGGGCAAAAGCUAGUACCUAAUAAACUAAACGUGAUACAUAGUGCAAAUAAAACUUAUCUUCACCUUUUAUUGCAGGUAACAAAUGCAAUAAAUUCACACAGUAUCAUAUCAAAAUUUGUUCAUCAUCAACUUGCUCUAUUAAUUAAAUGCAAGAGAUGCAUAUUAUGAUGUUUGAUAAAAAAGUUACAAAUUAUUUAUGCAAAUAUCUUGCAUAUACCUAAUACAUGCAAAAAUAUUUAACAAAGCAACAAUCUUAUUAUUUGACAACAUACUACACAACUGAUAACUACAAAUUGGGUUGAGUCAACUAACUAUUUAGUUGGUUGAUUGCCAUAUUACUACAAUGCACUAAUUGUGUCACUAUGUUUAACCAAGAACCAUUUAUCACCGAAAUACAGCAUACAACAUUCUCAUUACUUAGCUAUCUUCAACAUCAUAAUAAUAGCAAACUCAUUUUUACUGGGUAUGAGAUUAAUUAAACAAUAUUUUUCUGUAAACACCUGAUUAUCUGGCUAAGGGAUAUUUAUAAUGGUAUGGAACCUCUAAUCUAAAUCUUCUGUUUUUAUCAAUAUACAUAAAUAUGGAUCAUGAAUUUAAAAGAAAUCAAUAGAGUAUUAAAUAGUUAAUACACAUUACCAGCUUCUCGCUACAAUUUUUAUAAGAAAGUAGAAUAAGUAAAUAAAAAAAUCAUUUUAAUUUUAGAAAAGUCACUUACUCAUUGCUCUAGUGAUAUGUGACUGCUGAUCACAAUGUCCCAGAUAGGAUUCUUCCUAAGUCAGAUCAAAUACAUAUUACUGGAGUUUUUCAUUUUCACAUUCCAAAACAAGCCGAGAGUAUCAUCUCAUCUCUAAUAUGUGGUAUCAUAACCUCUGACAUAUCUAUGAGUAACAUGUUUCUACAAGUUUGUUGUACCUCCAUCCCUACUUACACCAUUGGAAAAUAACAAACAUAAUAAUUAUCUCUACAUAAACAUAAGAGCGGUAAUUGUAUGUUUUCUUUGAAUUUAAUGAGUUUACAUAACUUACACAAUGAUUUGGUAAAAAAUCUAUACAUAUAAUAAAAUCGUAGAAAAGUGCUGUCUGUACAUUGAAAAUAAAAAUAAAAAAAAUAGCAGGGGUUAUUGUUAUGUCGAUGUCGAACCCAAAAAUGUAAUUAACUUUUUUUUUGUCUGUUUGUCUGUUUGUCUGUUUGUCUGUUUGUCUGUUUGUCUGUUUGUCUGUUCGUCUGUGCGCGCUAAUCUCAGAAACGGCUGAUCCGAGUUGGAUGCGGUUUUCACGAAUAUAUUGUGGGAUGCUUAAAUUUACAUUUAGUGUUUGUUUCAUGUCAAUCGGUUCAUAAAUAAAAAAGUUAUGUCAAAUUAAAGAA